rnacentral:rRNA from 1 species
GACGAACGCUGGCGGCGCGCCUAACACAUGCAAGUCGAACGAGAGAGAGGAAGCUUGCUUCCUUAAUCGAGUGGCGAACGGGUGAGUAACGCGUGAGGAACCUGCCUCAAAGAGGGGGACAACAGUUGGAAACGACUGCUAAUACCGCAUAAGCCCACGGCCCGGCAUCGGGUUGAGGGAAAAGGAUUUAUUCGCUUCAGGAUGGACUCGCGUCCAAUUAGCUAGUUGGUGAGGUAACGGCCCACCAAGGCGACGAUUGGUAGCCGGACUGAGAGGUUGAACGGCCACAUUGGGACUGAGACACGGCCCAG